rnacentral:lncRNA from 1 species
CUCAAGUGAUCUUUCCGCCUCGGCUUCCCAAAGUGCUGAAAUUACAGUCAUGAACCACCGCGCCUGGCCAGGAAUUUGGGAAUCAUGAUUGCCAACAAUCACUCAGCACCAACAAUUUACUGAAUGUUUAUCUGCCUGCAUUCUUCUUGUGGCUGGAAAUGUAGCAGUGAACCAGACCGAGACCCUGAUCCGCUGGGUAUAUAGCUGGGGGAGUCAGACAUUCAUGAAAAUGACUUCUAGUGCCACAGAUAUUUCAAAAGAUGCAGUAAAGAGUUCUGUGGGUCUGAAUGAUAUGGUGUGCUAACCAAAUAUGUGAAGGUGGCGAAGGUCUCCUAGAAGAAUUGGUGCAAAACUUGAGUCUCAAAGGAUGAGCUGGGUGAGGAGUUGGGCACAGUAUUCUGGGCAGUGGGAACAUCAUGGACAGAAGCCUGAAUGCAGCGGAGAGACUGACUCACUUGUGGGCAUGAAGGAGAUCAGCAUGACUGGAUUGGAGCUCACUUCCUGGUGUUUUCACCUCAUUGCAUCCCUGGUUGGUUUCUGUUGCUUGCAAUGAAAGAACCCUUACAAAUGCAAUAAUGCAGAAGUAACAAUGAAGAUGACACUGAUUCACACAAGAUUUAAUUUGUUACAUGAGUAAAUAAACAAAGCAAAAUGAACAGAAUUUACUAUACUGCAUCCCUGCUGGGAGUAUGUUGAGCUAUCUGGCCUGGAAGGCCUUUGUGACCUGUUGAAAGAAUAUACAUGGAUUUACUUCAGGAGAAAAAUAAAGUGUUAUUUUAAAAA